rnacentral:rRNA from 1 species
UACGUAGGGGGCAAGCGUUGUCCGGAUUUAUUGGGCGUAAAGAGCGUGUAGGCGGCCAGAUAGGUCUGUUGUGAAAACUCGAGGCUCAACCUCGAGACGCCGAUGGAAACCAUUUGGCUAGAGUCCGGAAGAGGAGAGUGGAAUUCCUGGUGUAGUGGUGAAAUGCGCAGAUAUCAGGAAGAACACCCGUGGCUAAGGCGGCUCUCUAGUACGGUACUGACGCUGAGACGCGAAAGCGUGGGGAGCGAACAGG